rnacentral:rRNA from 1 species
CCCUUAGAUGUCCUGGGCCGCACGCGCGCUACACUGAUGUAUUCAACGAGUUUAUAACCUUGACCGAUAGGUUUGGGUAAUCUUCGAAAAUUUCAUCGUGAUGGGGAUAGACUAUUGCAAUUAUUGGUCUUCAACGAGGAAUUCCUAGUAGACGUAGUUCAUCAGACUGCAUCGAUUACGUCCCUGCCCUUUGUACACACCGCCCGUCGCUCCUACCGAUUGAAUGCUCAGGUGAGCCAUUCGGACUUUCAUCAUGCUGGUUUCCAGUUUUGAUGAAGGAAAGUCUUGCGAACCUUAUCAUUUAGAGGAAGGAGAAGUCGUAACA